rnacentral:rRNA from 1 species
UACGAAGGGGGCAAGCGUUGUUCGGAAUUACUGGGCGUAAAGGGCGCGUAGGCGGCCGAUCAAGUCAGGCGUGAAAUUCCCGGGCUCAACCUGGGGGCUGCGCUUGAUACUGAUUGGCUUGAAUGCGGGAGAGGAUAGUGGAAUUCCCAGUGUAGAGGUGAAAUUCGUAGAUAUUGGGAAGAACACCGGUGGCGAAGGCGGCCAUCUGGACCGUAUCUAACGCUGAGGCGCGAAAGCGUGGGAGCAAACAGG